rnacentral:rRNA from 1 species
GAGUUUGAUCCUGGUUCAGGAUGAACGCUGGCGGCGUGCCUAACACAUGCAAGUCGAGCGAGAUUUAUGUGAGUGGAGACUUCGGUCAAAGCAAUCAUAAUGAAAGCGGCGGACGGGUGAGUAACGCGUGAGCAAUCUGCCCCAUACAAAGGGAUACCCACUGGAAACGGUGAUUAAUACCUUAUGAGACCACAAUGCCGCAUGGCAUAGGGGUCAAAGAUUUAUCGGUAUGGGAUGAGCUCGCGCCUGAUUAGCUAGUUGGUGAGGUAAUGGCUCACCAAGGCGACGAUCAGUAGCCGACCUGAGAGGGUGAACGGCCACACUGGAACUGAGACACGGUCCAGACUCCUACGGGAGGCAGCAGUGGGGAGUAUUGCACAAUGGGCGCAAGCCUGAUGCAGCAACGCCGCGUGAAUGAUGAAGGCCUUCGGGUCGUAAAGUUCUGUCCAAAGGGAAGAAUACAGUGACGGUACCUUUGGAGGAAGCCCCGGCUAACUACGUGCCAGCAGCCGCGGUAAUACGUAGGGGGCAAGCGUUAUCCGGAAUCACUGGGCGUAAAGGGAGCGUAGGCGGUUUGACAAGCCAGAGGUGAAAGGCAAUAGCUUAACUAUUGUAAGCCUUUGGAACUGUCGAACUUGAGUGCAGGAGAGGAAAGUGGAAUUCCUAGUGUAGCGGUGAAAUGCGUAGAUAUUAGGAGGAACACCAGUGGCGAAGGCGACUUUCUGGAUUGUAACUGACGCUGAGCUCGA